UUAUAUUUAAUUAAAUAUACUUAAAAAUAAAAAAUCCAAACCCAAAUCCCUCUCUCUCUCAUCUCUCCCUCUCUCUCGUAACCCCUUCCCCCUCCUUCUCAUCCCACCCGCUCAAAACCCAGAUCCCAACUCAACCCCCUUAAAACCAAUGAGAGAAAGCCAAAGAACGUACUCUACCUUGCCCUCCACAGUCCUGACGUUAAGACAGAUUGAAGUUGUCUACUUGGGAUUUUGGGUUUGGUACAUUAUGUGAAAUAGAGUGUUGUGUUUUGUAUCUUCUUCUUGACCAGAAAAGCAUCUCCUUAAGGUACCCAAACUAAGGUUUUCGGCAAAGAAGUUUUUGCAGGUCGGGUUGGGAUAUGGGUUUUGAAGGAGGAGGGAGGAAUAGGUUGCGGGAGAGAGAGGGAGAGACAAAGAGGGAGACUGAUGAACACAAAUGAAAGCAAAAGUAAAGGUGAAAACCAUGGGAAGAGGCCAAGAGAUUGUGAAAUUAAGAAGUUUCCUUGAAGAAGAGAAUUGUUGGGUAGGGUAAGUUUCUCUCUCGCUACUUUUUUUGUUUUUUGUUUUUUUGUCUUUCUGAAAUUCCAGAACGUUGGAAUUUUCUGCACAAAGUCUCCUCUAACAAAUGGCUUUCCAAAAUAGUCAGAUUCUUGAGAUGGGUUUGUUGGGUCAAUGAUGGAAGGAGAAGGUGGAGUUGAGGUCAAUGCUGGAUGAAGAACCCAAAAGGACGUUUUUACCCCCUUAUUUUGACAGACAAAUUGACAUAGUUGGAUGGCAAGAACCAAUUAGAACUAUUUAUCGAGUUAACGGAUGUAAUUGUCUCUAAAAAAAAAUUCAGGAAUCUAAUUGCAAAUGGAGGUCAAGUUCAGAAACGUCUACAGUAAAUAACCAUUUUAUUUUAUUUUUAUCUAAGUUUAAUGUUUGUGAAUUUCAAGCACAUUGGCUGAGAGUCGUGCAAACCGCUUCGGACAAUAGACUACGUCACGAACCUGAAUAUUUUAUAAUAUUUUUUUUAUUUAAAAAAAAAAAACAAUGAGUGAGUGCGAUUAAUCACUCCUUCCCCUCCAUGGGAGUUUCACUUUGCUGAUACAACUGGAUAUUCAUGCAAAUAAGGCAGUGAUGGUUGGGGACCACCUGGAUCCAGGCCCAAUGGUUGAGGAAACAGCAAAGGCAAAAGUGUGGAAGUUGGGGGAAUGUGGCUCAAGGAGGUCAAAAAGCGAUAAAGGUAGUUUUCUUCAACAAUAUUCUUUAAUUUAGUUGAUUUUUAAUAUUUUAUUAUUUCUCUCUCAUCCUCUCUAAAUUAAGUUCAUUAAAAAAAAUUAAAAAGUAAGAGGUAAGAGAGGGUUGUGUGCCUAGGGAGAGAGAACAGGAAGAA
rnacentral:lncRNA from 1 species